CAGCGCCGGGCGGGGGGGGAGCGGGGCGGGCGGCCGGGCGCUGCCGCCGUCUCCCUGCCGCUGCCGUAACGUCCUGACGCUCCGCAGGGACCCGCUGGCCGGACGAUACAGACUAACACGGCUGCUACUCUGAAACAUUCCAUUGCCUGUGACUUCGGGUGCAGGAGCUGGUUUACUGGACUUCCUGGAUGUUUUCUUAGAUCCUGUCCUUGUAAGACAUUGACCUUCAAAUACUGUUGAAGUUAAUAGGCACCCAGUGGCAUGAGGCCUUCCCUUGUAUCCCAGGAUGGAGGUGCCUUUCCAAGGAGAUUUGAGCGGGUAUAAAGUGCAACGUUUUGGAAUGAGGUUGCUUUUUUUUAAAAAAGAAAUUUUUUUUAGGUAAAAGCUACUUCUGCUGAGCUGAGUAAGGGCCAAUGCUAAAAGAUGUUUGUAGGUUUCCCAGAAUUUUAACCCUUUUUUUUGACAACUGACUGCUGAGUUUUUGAUCCUUCUCUCCUCAUGAAAGGGCUUUGAACUCUUCACUUCCCCUAGGAUUAGGUAAAAUAAUGGUGUUAUCUGCAUUGAAGUGUUUAAUUAGUUAGUUUUUCUCCUGGAGAAUGUAGUUAAAUUACAGAUCUGUGAGCUGUCUUUAAGGAUGGGCAAUAAUUACUAUUUAGUUUAACAAAAACCUAGAUUCCAUACUCUAUCUUUGAGCCAGUUUUAUAUUCUGCUGAGUUAUUAUUUUCCCAACAAGAACAGAAGCCGUGGAAGAUUAAAAUAAAUUGGGUGUAUUAAGAGAAAUGGAGGCAUGUGGUUUCAUACCAAGUUUAUUUCUUUUUGUUUUUCAUAAUCACUUCUUUUGCACAACAACAACCUCAAGUUGACAAUUAAAUGCA